UGGUGCUUGCAUCAUGAUUUACAUUUGAGUGAGUGGCGAACUGGUGAGUAACACGUGGGAAACCUGCCCAGAAGCGGGGGAUAACACCUGGAAACAGAUGCUAAUACCGCAUAACAACUUGGACCGCAUGGUCCGAGUUUGAAAGAUGGCUUCGGCUAUCACUUUUGGAUGGUCCCGCGGCGUAUUAGCUAGAUGGUGGGGUAACGGCUCACCAUGGCAAUGAUACGUAGCCGACCUGAGAGGGUAAUCGGCCACAUUGGGACUGAGACACGGCCCAAACUCCUACGGGAGGCAGCAGUAGGGAAUCUUCCACAAUGGACGAAAGUCUGAUGGAGCAACGCCGCGUGAGUGAAGAAGGGUUUCGGCUCGUAAAACUCUGUUGUUAAAGAAGAACAUAUCUGAGAGUAACUGUUCAGGUAUUGACGGUAUUUAACCAGAAAGCCACGGCUAACUACGUGCC
rnacentral:rRNA from 2 species